GACGAACGCUGGCGGCGUGCCUAAUACAUGCAAGUCGAACGCAGUUGGGACGGGUGAGUAACACGUGGGUAACCUCCCAUCAGAGGGGAUAACACUUGGAAACAGGUGCUAAACCGAUACUGAUGGAUGCACCCGCGGUGCAUUAGCUAGUUGGUGAGGUAACGGCUUACCAAUGCCACGAUGCAUAGCCGACAUGAGGGGGUGAUCGGCCACACUGGGACUAAUACACGGGCCAGAAACCUACAAAAGACAGCAGUAGGGAAUCUUCAGCAAUGGACGAAAGUCUGGCCGAGCAAUGCCGCGUGAGUGAAAAAGGUUUUCGGAUCUUAAAACUAUGUUGUUAGAGAAGCGGUAUCUGACCAGAAAGCCACGGCUAACUACGUGCCAGCCGCCGCGGUAAUAG
rnacentral:rRNA from 1 species